AGGUAGGGAUACCCGCUGAACUUAAGCAUAUCAAUAAGCGGAGGAAAAGAAACCAACAGGGAUUGCCUUAGUAACGGCGAGUGAAGCGGCAAAAGCUCAAAUUUGAAAUCUGKCACCAUUGGUGUCCGAGUUGUACUUUGGAGAGGCAUCUUCUGGAGGGGCCCARCCUAUGUGCCUUGGAACAGGACGUCAUAGAGGGUGAGAAUCCCGUCCUUGGUUGGAUGUUCCCUCCUGUAUGUAGUGUCUUCUACGAGUCGAGUUGUUUGGGAAUGCAGCUCAAAAUGGGUGGUAAAUUUCAUCUAAAGCUAAAUAUUGGCGAGAGACCGAUAGCGCACAAGUAGAGUGAUCGAAAGAUGAAAAGCACUUUGAAAAUAGAGUCAAACAGUACGUGAAAUUGUUGAAAGGGAAGCGCUUGAGAUCAGAGUCAGCCUUUGGCAAACAACUACUCCUUCUGGGUGGUGCACUUGUCAUUGGUUGGGCCAGCAUCGGUUGGGACGGCAGGAUAAAGGCCCAGGGAAUGUGACUCCUUUAUGGAGUGUUAUAGCCCCAGGCGGCAUACUGUCUGCCCCGACCGUGG
rnacentral:rRNA from 1 species